GGAGAUGUUGUUGCCAAUUCCAACUGACUGGGGUCUGCAUGUGAGGAAAUCCAGGAUUCGAUUGCACAAGGAGGAGAAUAACGCAGCUGGUGACUGGAAUACGUAGACUGCUGAGCUCCACCCAAUCUAUAAAUAUCUCACUAAAUUCAAGUAGAGUUGUAGUUCAUAGUUUAUCCAACCUUGCAAAUAUUUGGCUUCUGAUAAACUGCUGCUGAGUAUUCAUCAGUACUAAGUUCUGAAGUUUCAGUAUUUACCACCUCUUUGAAAACUAAUGUUGGCAUUCUCUCCAAAGAUGUGCCUUGCAAAAAUUCCAAAUUACUCCAAAUGUGUUAAGGAAAUUUUGCCUUCCAUGAAGACUACUGCAUGUGAGUCCAGUUUCUCAUCUGUUUUUGCCAACGGGUACUGCCAAUGAAAAGGCAGGUUUUAUCAGGUUGCCUGCUGGUCUUCUGCUACUCCUCCAGGAUAGUCCUGCAGCAGACAUAUCUGAUUAUCAACGGUUUCAUACUUGUUGACAUCCUGGCAGACAUAUUUAGUCCUUUGAACCAUUUUGGAGAAACUUGUCAAUUGAAUGGAUUUGUUGCCCCCUUUCAGGAUUGUGGAAUUCACAUCAUCACUUUUACAUUGGAUGUUCCUAUUCCAGUACUAUUUUUCUUCAAUGCUUUCCAUCUGUAGCUUUGCAUUUGUUUUAUUUACUUAUCUCUAUUCUGUUUAGAGACAAUUCCAUUGGCCAUUCUUUUUGCCAGAGUGCAUUAAAGUCAGUCUUAAGUUUAAUCUGAGACAUUAACUCUGUUUUUCCAUCCAUAGAUGCUCCUAACCCACUGAGUACUUCCACCAUUUUCCGUUUUUAAACUUCUGAUGUGCAUGAAUGAAUGAGCACAGACCAGAAAUUGACAGUGAAAUUACAUAGGAGCUAGAACAGUACAGCAUGGUAUAGGCCCUCUGGCCCAUGAUGUUGUUCUGACCCUUUAAUCUUCGCCAAGGUCAAUCUAACCCUUCCCUCUCACAUAGCCAUCCAUUACAGUCACCAUCUUUCAAUCUAGUCUAUGUAUCAUUUUCAAAAAUUCUAGAUACAAAUAAAUAUGCAAAGGAAUAGAUGGAAACCAUGGCACGAGGACAUGGAGAUACAUGUGGAGAUACCAGCCUGGCUUGGGAAGCCUGAAACCAGAGAUCAGUUAUUGCUGCCAACAGAAUUCCUCUACUGUUGGGCUCCCUUACAACAUGAUGAUUGACAUUAGCAGGCAGAUGAUUUGAAGGCUUAUCUUGGUGAAUCCAGUUGAGGUGAGAUUUUCUCAGAUAUUCUACAGGUGUAUUGAACAAUGCCAUGCUGGGCUUGUUGCCCUUGGUGUGGCCAAGGGGUUGAGAUGACUUUGAAAAUACAGAUAGACUCAAUUUUGCAAAGCAUUGCAGUGACAUACAUCGAAAGGGCAGAGGAAGAUAGAUACACUUGAACGAUGCUGGCUUUAUUUCACAGAGCUUUAAUGGGAGUACUUGCCAAGAUACAAUCUCAGGCCUGCAGAUGAUUAGACAGAUCAGAUGUUUAACUAGCAUUUCAAAUGAAACUAUGGUGCUACUGAGUGUAUUCUUUGAUCGAGUGAAAUGAUAACUUUUUGCAGUUGCAAUAUUCCAAUGAAUCAGGGAGGAAGGUUAUUUUGGGCCUUUCUUAUUAGAAUGAGUAAUUCUGCUAUUUUGUAUUUUUCUGAUCUUAAGUAUAUACUAGUGCAGCAGACAGCAAGUUCUCCUUUGUGGGCUUUGUUAACUGUGAAUACUAAUGCAAAAUGGGUGGCAUUGUGGUACAUCUGCAAAGCUGCCCCUAUAACCUGGUUUGAUUCUGAACUCUGGGAUCUCUGCAUAGCGGUCCUGUGGUCACACGAGUUUCUCUUUGGUCCCCUGGUUGCUCUCACAAAGAAAUACUGCUAGUGUCUUUGAUACAAGUUUAGAUAAUUGACUGGUUUAGGUGGUGGGUGGAGAUUUGAUGUGAAGGGGCAUUGAUGGCCAUGAGAGAUUAUAAGUUACGGGAAAAAAUGGGGCAGUGGCACUGAUGGUAAUGCCAUGAGUCUGCAUGAAUGAUAAUCAAUAUGGCAAUACAGUCAAUUUUCAAAGUUCAAUGUAAAUUUUAUUAUGAUAGUGUGUAUCGCCACUGCUCUACAUACCAUCCUUACACAUUUAGAGAAGAAGGAUGCUUAUGUGAGAAUGCUGUAAUUGGAUUACAGUUCAGCAUUCAACACCAUAGUUCCAUCUAGGCUCGACAAGAAGCUCAGAGACCUCGGCCUUUACCCUGCCUUGUGCAGCUGGAUCCUGGAUUUCCUGUCAGAUCGUCUGCAGGUUGUAAGAGUGGACUCCCUCACCUCCACCCCUCUGAGUGUCAAUACAGGGGUCCCUCAGGGCUGCGUACUGAGCCCCCUCCUUUACACUCUGUAUACCCAUGGCUAUAUCGUCACCCACUGCUCCAAUCUACUAAAUAAAUUUGCCAUGAUUCAGGACAUUUACAAGGACAGGUAUGUAAAAAGGGCCCGUAGGAUCAUUAAGGACCCAAGCCAUCCCAACCCCAAUCUAUUCCAGCUGCUACCAUCAGGGAAGCGGUACCGCAGCAUAAAAGCCAGGAGCAACAAGUUCCGGGAUAGCUUCUUCCACCAGGCCAUGAGACUGAUGAAGUCACGCUGAUUUAAGUGUACCCUAUAUUACAUUGACUGUUCUAUUUGUAAAGGGGGUUUCUUCUUUUUUCUUUGUUACUGUGUAUGUAAUCAAAAUGGCUUCUUUUGUUAAAAGUAGAAAUGCUUCUUUGUUGCGAGAGAGUGCUGGAAGCUUGUUGGGGUUAAAAUUUACUGAUAACGAGAAUUGUAUUCCUUUGUAAACCAAUUGGGAUUAAUGUUGUUCUUUUUUCUGAGUCUGUAAGCUAUUGUUGGCGGGCUUUUGGGGAGUUCGGCGCGAGGGGUCGAGAGCGAGAGGACGCAAUGCUGUAAGUUGGGCGAGGAACGGACCCCAAGCGGGGGUCCGAGGCCAGGAGGUAAUCCGAGGAGAGGAGAUGAAGCUAGAUGUGCUUGGUUGACCACUUCGGAUGGUCCUGAGCUGCGAGUCGAGGAGUUCAGAGGGGAUCGAAUGGUGGCCAGAAGACUUCAGUAAUUGAGCUCCAACGGUUGUGCAUGAAGUGGUUUGGACUUUGAUAAGUUUGGCGCCUUUUCUUUAUUUUUUUCUUUAUAUAUACUGUAUCGUUAUUAAUCACUUAGUUAUAGUAACCUUUAUAAAUUGUACUCAUUUA